GUUAUUGCGAGGAAGGAUAUGGACAGAAACGCACUGGUUAAAGUUGGUGCGAUGGCCAGCGUUACUGUGUGCGCGCUUUUCAGUGGAGUCGUGUUCGCUCAGUACGUUUUCACCAAAAAGCAAAGAGCCGGCAAGAAAACCAAAAUAAUCGAAAUGAUGCCUGAGUUUGAGAAAAAUACAGUUCACAUCAGAGACCCUGAGCGGGUAGAGCAGAUUAUCUGCUGUCUCAUUAAGGACGGAGCAUCAAAACUACAGAUCAUCACAGAUUUUGAUAUGACAUUAAGCAGAUUUGCUGUGAAUGGAAAACGCUGCCCAACAUGUCAUAAUAUUAUUGACAACUGCAAGCUUGUCACAGAAGAUUGUAGGAAAAAGCUGCUCCAGCUAAAGGAGACAUAUUACCCUAUAGAGAUAGACCCUCAUCUGACUAUGGAGGAGAAAUAUCCAUUUAUGGUGGAAUGGUAUUUAAAAUCACACACGUUACUGGUAGAACAGAGAUUGCAGAGGGCCAAACUCCCAGAGGUGGUGAGAGAAUCUGAUGUCUGUCUCAGGGAAGGAUAUGAGCAGUUUUUCGACCUGCUGCAAAAGCGCAGCGUUCCUGUCUUCAUCUUUUCAGCGGGUUUAGGAGACGUGCUGGAGGAAAUUAUAAGACAGGCUGGCAUCUACCACCCUAAUGUCAAAGUUGUGUCUAAUUUCAUGGACUUUGAUGACAAUGGAGUUCUAAAAGGCUUUAAAGGAGAGCUGAUCCAUGUUUAUAACAAGCAUGAUGGUGCCCUGAGAAACACAGAAUAUUUCAAACAACUGAAGGACAAUGGGAACAUUAUUUUGCUUGGAGACUCACUCGGUGAUCUCAAUAUGGCAGAUGGUGUGCCCAAUGUGGAGAAUAUCCUUAAGAUCGGCUUUCUCAAUGAUAAGGUAGAUGAACUAUUGGAAAAAUACAUGGACUCUUAUGAUAUUGUAUUGGCGAGAGAUGAAACACUCGAAGUGCCUAACUCCAUUUUACAGAAGAUCUUAUAAAUGACAUCAUACGACACAAGACUAGGAAAAGACUAAUAUAUAUAUAUAUAUAUAUAUAUAAUAUAAAUAUAUAAAAAUAUAUGUUUUUACCAGUACUGAGAUCAAGCUCCAUCUGUUUUUACUAUUUUUCACAUGCUCUAAGCUAUACAUUCUCCAGCCCUAUUUUUAAAGUCAUGACUCUUGCUCACAAUGAGCUACUUCAAUUAACACCCUGCUGUUGUGGUCUCUGGGAUGCAAGUAAGCAAAUACUUAAAGAACACAAUUUUUAUAAUGUUAAAAUUAUUGUUUGAGGUAUUUUUGAUAUAUGGGAACAUUUGUAUUUAGUGUUUGCAGUAGAAAUAGAGAUUGUACACUUUAAAAAAAAACUCAACUACCGUACAGUAUACCAGUAACGACCAUUCUUACAAUCAUGUGCACUUUGAAGAGCUGUUACAGUUCUCAUUGCAUUUCUAUUUAAGUAUGUGUGCUGCAUGCAUAG